CAUUUUCUUAAUGGAUGGUGGAGUCAGCAGCAAAGCUUUGCUGGAGCAGUCAUAGGGAUUUGGUUUACAACAAGCAACAGACUGAAAGAGUUAUAUAAAGAUAAAGACUCCAUAAAAAGAC